AACCAAAAACUCACUCUCGUCGAUUGGUAAAUUUGUAUUUUGUUCUAAAUUGAGCCUCUAGAGUAAAAUCAAGAUUCCUUCAGAGUUUCCUGCCCCAGUUUCCCAGCGAUGUUGAGCUCAACGCGCAUGUAUUGCCUGGCGGGGCUGGGGGUGACGGCAGCGUCAGCGCUGCUAGCGACCUACGUCUGGCACAAAAGAGAGGAGAUGUUGUGGGUGGAGAUCGGCCGCGUAGAAGACCUCAUAAUUUAUCCCAUCAAGUCUGGCCACGGGACCAGCGUGAUGAAAGCCACGGCAACCAGAUCUGGGUUGCGGAGCGGACCUCUCACGGACAGAGCAUUUGUGGUGGUGUUGGUGACGCCGGAAAAGAUGGUGCACAUGAACUCGGGUAUGGUGCCCAUGUUGGCCACCAUCAGCGCUGCCAUCACAGAGAGCUCGGUGGUGCUUUCCUCUCCCGUCACCAAGGCAACCAAUUCUUUCGAUCUCCACAAAACUGUUCAGUCUGAGCCGCUGGAGUUUUUCCUGCAAGCAACUCCGAAGCGUGGCUACGACUGCGGGGAGGUCACGGCCAAGUGGAUGCAAGAAGUUCUCUACCACGAAGUCGAGCCCUCGAAGAGGCCGCAGGUGCGACUCAUCUUCGUCGGCGACCCGGAGACUUUCAAGAACGUUGCCAGAGCACCGAACGUUUACCCCUUCACCCAAUUCAAAAACACAGAUCUGCGGCUCUAUCACGACACUUGUGCUUUCCACGUCACGUCACCGUCUAGCCUUGAUGAUCUCAACACGCGUUUGGAGACACCAGUGACCAUGAACCAGUUUAGAUCGAACAUCGUCGUUAGCGGACAGCCGGCUUUUGAAGAGGACAAUUGGGCCUACGUCAAAUUUGGCGAUUCGACAAUCCUGCGCACGCUCAAACCACGAGAGUCGUGCAUCCGCAUCAACGUCAGGCCCGAUAGCGGCAAGCGCCAGAACGAAGUGUUGGACGUAAUGAGGAAGUACAGAGUGCCUCCAAUGCCGGAGAAGCUGGCUAAGCAAUGGGCGCACAAACCCAUCUUCGGGCUGCACAUGGCGCUGGACCAGCCAGGGGACAUCGCAGUUGGUGACACGGUCUAUGCCGUCAGAAGGAAGCCUGACUGGUUCCUGUAACGCUUGCUCGUCUUGGCCAAUUCGUGACUGAGGAAACCGUGGUUCCUACACCCCGUUAAAAUAUGAUGAAAGUCGUUUUCUGGAGCGCUGCAUAAUCUACGCGGAUUCCGGGACUUAAAAAAGACAAAUUGGCUUGCAAAUAAUCCAUGGAGGCUUUGCCUCCUCACUGCUCUGGAAACGCAAUGCGAUUUGACGAUAUAAAUCAUUGUUCUUAGUUUAGUGCACAUUAAUCAUGUAUAACAUACUCGUGAAUUUGCUAAAAAAAACUUCCAAGUAUUUUAUUCAAACGACAAAAUUUUAAUCACAUUACGAACAAAGGAGAACCAGGUCAUGAUUAGCCAAUUGUAUCUUAUUUCCAGGUUUUAUGAAGUUCCACUAAGAAAAGAUCAUAAUAAUAUGUGACCAUUUGUUCAUGAUGACUUGCUAUAUUAACCGCAACUUUUAUCGCUUGAAAGAAUUUGUUUUUAAAAAUGUUUUGUGGUUUUUAAAUGGCAAGUUAAUGUCAAUGUUCCUCUCUACGAUCAUGACCCUCGACAAUAACUGCUAUGUGCGAGGUACCUACUACAUAGUUAAGUAUAAUUUUAUUACAUCUUUCUAUCAUCUAGCAACGUAUUUUAUUAGAAUUAUAUAGCUACAUUGUUUAUUAUUAUUAUCUUGCUACAUAGUUCAUUCGAUGGCAAUGCAGUAUAGCGCAUGUGGAAAAGCUCUUAGGAGAUUGUAGUUGUUUAGCCGAUUUUUUCCACGAUAUGUUUUGUUGUGCAGAUUGAUUGUAUUUUACGUCCGUAUUUAUAGCAGUUGCACAAAAUGUCCAUCAUUUCCCGAGAUUACUUCAAAAUUAUUGCAAAAGUGGGUUCUACUGCAUGAUACAAAUUUAAUAUUAGUGUUACGAGCGAUAAAUAGUUCAUGUAACUGGAUGAAAUUGCGCCAAGCUGCACUGAAGAAUGAAAUUGCUUGUACAUGGAUACCCAAUGGCUCUGACUCGGGUUGCAACUUCGACAUUUUUUAUUAAAUAGUUAUAAUGGGCACUAAUCUAGAUUCUUAAACGAUGAAUUUUACCGCUGCCGUUACUGACGA
rnacentral:misc_RNA from 1 species